rnacentral:rRNA from 1 species
UGCAAGUCGAGCGGAAACGACACUAMSRAUYCUUCGGRUGMKUURAUGGGCGUCGAGCGGCGGACGGGUGAGUAAUGCCUAGGAAAUUGCCUUGAUGUGGGGGAUAACCAUUGGAAACGAUGGCUAAUACCGCAUAAUGCCUACGGGCCAAAGAGGGGGACCUUCGGGCCUCUCGCGUCAAGAUAUGCCUAGGUGGGAUUAGCUAGUUGGUGAGGUAAUGGCUCACCAAGGCGACGAUCCCUAGCUGGUCUGAGAGGAUGAUCAGCCACACUGGAACUGAGACACGGUCCAGACUCCUACGGGAGGCAGCAGUGGGGAAUAUUGCACAAUGGGCGAAAGCCUGAUGCAGCCAUGCCGCGUGUAUGAAGAAGGCCUUCGGGUUGUAAAGUACUUUCAGUUGUGAGGAAGGGUGUGUAGUUAAUAGCUGCRCAUCUUGACGUUAGCAACAGAAGAAGCACCGGCUAACUCCGUGCCAGCAGCCGCGGUAAUACGGAGGGUGCGAGCGUUAAUCGGAAUUACUGGGCGUAAAGCGCAUGCAGGUGGUUCAUUAAGUCAGAUGUGAAAGCCCGGGGCUCAACCUCGGAACUGCAUUUGAAACUGGUGAACUAGAGUGCUGUAGAGGGGGGUAGAAUUUCAGGUGUAGCGGUGAAAUGCGUAGAGAUCUGAAGGAAUAC